rnacentral:rRNA from 1 species
GACGAACGCUGGCGGCGUGCUUAACACAUGCAAGUCGAACGGAAAGGCCCUGCUUCUGUGGGGUGCUCGAGUGGCGAACGGGUGAGUAACACGUGAGUAACCUGCCCUUGACUUUGGGAUAACUUCAGGAAACUGGGGCUAAUACCGGAUAGGAGCUCCUGCUGCAUGGUGGGGGUUGGAAAGUUUCGGCGGUUGGGGAUGGACUCGCGGCUUAUCAGCUUGUUGGUGGGGUAGUGGCUUACCAAGGCUUUGACGGGUAGCCGGCCUGAGAGGGUGACCGGCCACAUUGGGACUGAGAUACGGCCCAGACUCCUACGGGAGGCAGCAGUGGGGAAUAUUGCACAAUGGGCGGAAGCCUGAUGCAGCAACGCCGCGUGCGGGAUGACGGCCUUCGGGUUGUAACCCGCUUUCGCCUGUGACGAAGCGUGAGUGACGGUAAUGGGUAAAGAAGCACCGGCUAACUACGUG